GUCUCCGACGUAUCGAUAAUUUCUUAUGUUCCAUGCCACAUUAUUGAUGAUAUCUACAUGUUUUAUACACAUUAUAUGUCAUAUUUAUGCGUUUUCCGGAACUAACCUAUUGACGAGAUGCCGAAGUGCCAGUUCCUGUUUUCUGCUGUUUUUGGUUUCAGAAAUCCUAGUAAGGAAAUAUUCUCGGAAUUGGACGAAAUCAACGCCCAGGGGCCUAUUUUUACACGAAGCUUCCAGAAGACCGGAGGACUUACGAAGUGGGGCCACGAGGUGGCCAGACACCAGGGCGGCGCGGCCUGGGCCUUGGCCGCGCCGGCCUGUCGUGUGGGGCCCUCGUGUGGCCCCCUGACCUGCCCUUCCGCCUACUUAAGGUCUCCGUCGCGAAAACCCUACCACGUUCGACGAAACCAGAGAAAACCUUCCAGAGCCGCCGCCAUCGCGAAGCCAAGAUCUGGGGGACAGGAGUCUCUGUUCCGGCACGCCGCCGGGACGGGGAAGUGCCCCCGGAAGGCUUCUCCAUCGACACCACCGCCAUCUUCAUCAACGCUGCUGUCUCCCAUGAGGAGGGAGUAGUUCUCCAUCGAGGUUCGGGGCUGUACCGGUAGCUAUGUGGUUCAUCUCUCUCCUAUGUACUUCAAUACAAUAAUCUCAUGAGCUGCCUUACAUGAUUGAGAUUCAUAUGAUGAUGCUUGUAAUCUAGAUGUCAUUAUGCUAGUCAAGUGGGUUUUACUUA